UGACCAUUUUAAAAGAAUAUAUCAUAAAUUCAAAGGUAAGUCUAUCGUACUGCAUUGUCUUAAAUGAAUUCUCAGCUGAAAUACGGCAAUAAAUGGAUCAUAAACGUAGCUAAAUUUACUGUUGACAACGAGAUCCAUUGCUUUUUUGCCUUGAAUAGCUUUACCAUAGUCAUUUUACCUUAAAAUGUAGCUACUGAGGAUAUCUCUAAGAGAUUUACACAGAUUAUUUGCACAAUCUCACGAUUUAAUCAUGCUGAUAACAUGAAAAUCCUUGUGCCAUUCUAUACUUGGCAUAAUCUCUACAUCAAUAGCUCACCAGUUCACUAAUAUAAAUUCAAUAUAUUUUUGAACCAGUCCAUAUAUUAUUAUACACAAUGUAGUAUAGUUAAUUUGACCAUAUUUGAGAAGUAAGGGUGUAUUUCAUUACACAGACACUGCUGAAUUUUAGGUUACAUGCCAUUGGAUUGAUAUAUGAAAAACACUUGUAAAACACACACAUUAUUUUUAUCUUGUUGAUAGAAUAGUUAUUUGCAGUAUACUAACUGUUGGCAUACUCUAUUUCAGGACUAUCAAUUGUUUUUGUCACUGACAGUCUUUGAAAUACAAUCUUGCUCUGUGGCCUUUACUGACAAGUUGGCUUUUACUACAUAUGUGGCACUGACACUUCUUUAAUUAAUGCACCAGUCAACGUAAACCCCCCAACUGGGGAAGGGCAGGGAUUUUGACUUGGAGGGGUAGUAAAAGAGCGAAAUUGGCCCCGCCCCCAGGGACAUCAAUGUCCCCUGCAUGUCUCUCAACCCCAGGAAAAUAGUUUUGUAUAAUCAUAGAUCAGCAAUAGAAAAUCAAAUUCAUUUAUGUUAUUGUAUUUAAACUUUUCUUGUCAAGAAAACUAAAACAGCAACACAGGAUAUAUAUGUUAACCACUGUCCAAGUCUCCCAUCAUCGGGGACAAAUUUAUAAUCAAAACUGACCACUUUCCCC